GUCAAGUACUGUACUGUGGGUUGCUUUCCUGAAUGUCAGCAGUUUCCAUGGUUUCCAGUUAGGAUUUGGAAUGCUAGUAAGUUCAUUAGCAUUCUAUUACAGAUGGAUAAACCAUCUUCUCAUAUAAGGGCAUUAGAAAACUACUGUUGGCAACCAUCUAACACUUUUCUUUUUUGAGAAGAUACAAAGGUAAAUGGAUAAAAGUAAAAUUGUGAUACAUAAGUGUAACACGGAAUGGUACCCAUGAAUUAAAAAGAAUGAACUGUUGAUACAAAACACAGAUGAAUGCCCAAGCCAUUAUGAUGUACUACAUACAAUGCCAGAGGUCACAAUGACGGGAAAGAACAGUCAAGAAAUUUAUGCCUUAUCUAAGGCAAAGGAAAUCCUACUCACUCCCAAAGCAAGAAUCAUUUCACAAUAAUCACCUGAAGUGUUCCUGGCAUGGUAUCAACACAGUGUACACAGAAUAACAAGAAGCAAGCAAAGGAGCCAAGGAGGCUGAGAGAUGGGCUCAACACUGUGAGCAAUUGCAAUGCAGAAAUUGAUGUGCUAACUUUCUGUCUGCCAAAGCUUGCUGGGACCAUAUACAGAAUCCAAAUCAGGACUCUAUCCUGAAACUUGAACCUAGGCACAAGCAGACUGCACAUAAGCUCAAGAAACAAACAUCACAGGAAAUACAAAAGAGUAAUGUUCAAAUGAAGACAGUGGUUUAACUCUUAAAAGAAAUGA